rnacentral:rRNA from 1 species
GACGUAGGAGGCGAGCGUUGUCCGGAUUCAUUGGGCGUAAAGAGCGCGCAGGCGGCUUGGUAAGUCGGAUGUGAAAUCCCGAGGCUCAACCUCGGGUCUGCAUCCGAUACUGCCCGGCUAGAGGUAGGUAGGGGAGAUCGGAAUUCCUGGUGUAGCGGUGAAAUGCGCAGAUAUCAGGAGGAACACCAAUUGCGAAGGCAGCUCGCUGGGACGUUACUGACGCUGAGACGCGAAAGCGUGGGGAGCAAACAGG